UCAGAACGAACGCUGGCGGCGUGCCUAACACAUGCAAGUCGAACGAGAAAGUUUCCUUCGGGAAACCMGUAWAGUGGCGCAAGGGUGAGUAACACGUGAAUAAUCUACCUAUGAAUUCGGGAUAACUCSWCGAAAGUUGUGCUAAUACCGGAUAAGACCACGUCUCUUAUGUGAUGUGGCCAAAGGAGUCUCAAACUUCGUUUAUAGAUGAGUUCGCGGACCAUUAGCUUGUUGGCGGGAUAACAGCCCACCAAGGCGACGAUGGUUASCCGGCCUGASAGGGUGAUCGGCCACACUGGAACUGAGACACGGUCCAGACUCCUACGGGAGGCAGCAGUGGGGAAUAUUGCGCAAUGGGCGAAAGCCUGACGCAGCAACGCCGCGUGAGGGAUGAAGGAUUUUGGUUCGUAAACCUCUGUCAAGUGGGAAGAAUAAUGACGGUACCACUAAAGGAAGCCCCGGCUAACUCCGUGCCAGCAGCCGCGGUAAUACGGAGGGGGCAAGCGUUGUUCGGAAUUAUUGGGCGUAAAGAGUAUGUAGGCGGCUAGAUAAGUCAGACGUGUAAGCCCAUGGCUCAACCAUGGAAUUGCGUUUGAAACUAUUUAGCUUGAGUGCAGGAGAGGAAAGCGGAAUUCCCAGUGUAGCGGUGAAAUGCAUUGAUAUUGGGAAGAACACCGGUGGCGAAGGCGGCUUUCUGGUCUGUUACUGACGCUGAGAUACGAAAGCCAGGGGAGCAAAGGGGAUUAGAUACCCCCGUAGUCCUGGCCGUAAACGAUGGGCACUAGGUGGAGGAGGUAUCGAUCCCUUCUCUGUNGA
rnacentral:rRNA from 1 species